AGAGUUUGAUCAUGGCUCAGGAUGAACGCUAGCGGCAGGCUAAUACAUGCAAGUCGAGGGGCAGCGGGAGUAGCAAUACUUGCCGGCGACCGGCGCACGGGUGCGUAACACGUAUACAAUCUGCCCAUCACUGGGGGAUAGCCCGGAGAAAUCUGGAUUAAUACCCCAUAAUACAGGAAAUGGCAUCAUUUUCUGUUGAAAGUUCCGACGGUGAUGGAUGAGUAUGCGUCUGAUUAGUUAGUUGGCGGGGUAACGGCCCACCAAGACCACGAUCAGUAGGGGUUCUGAGAGGAUAUACCCCCACACGGAUACUGAGACACGGAUCCGACUCCUACGGGAGGCAGCAGUAAGGAAUAUUGGACAAUGGCCGCAAGGCUGAUCCAGCCAUGCCGCGUGCAGGAAGAAGGCCCUAUGGGUCGUAAACUGCUUUUAUACCAGAGAAAACCCCCUUACGUGUAAGGGGCUGAUAGUACGGUAAGAAUAAGCAUCGGCUAACUUCGUGCCAGCAGCCGCGGUAAGACGAAGGAUGCAAGCGUUAUCCGGAUUCAUUGGGUUUAAAGGGAGCGUAGGCGGAUAGGUAAGUCAGUGGUGAAAUCCCAUCGCUUAACGAUGGAACUGCCAUUGAUACUGCUUAUCUAGAGUACAGUUGCCGUUGGCGGAAUAUGACAUGUAGUGGUGAAAUACUUAGAUAUGUCAUAGAACACCGAUUGCGAAGGCAGCUAACGAAGCUGUAACUGACGCUGAGGCUCGAAAGUGCGGGGAUCAAACAGGAUUAGAUACCCUAGUAGUCC
rnacentral:rRNA from 1 species